AGAGUUUGAUCAUGGCUCAGGACGAACGCUGGCGGCGUGCUUAACACAUGCAAGUCGGACGGUGAACCGCUUUCGGGUGGGGAUCAGUGGCGAACGGGUGAGUAACACGUGAGUAACCUGCCCUUCACUCUGGGAUAACUCCGGGAAACCGGGGCUAAUACUGGAUAUGACCUACUCGGGCAUCCGAUGUGGGUGGAAAGAUUUAUCGGUGAGGGAUGGACUCGCGGCCUAUCAGCUUGUUGGUGAGGUAAUGGCUCACCAAGGCGACGACGGGUAGCCGGCCUGAGAGGGCGAUCGGCCACACUGGGACUGAGACACGGCCCAGACUCCUACGGGAGGCAGCAGUGGGGAAUAUUGCACAAUGGGCGAAAGCCUGAUGCAGCGACGCCGCGUGAGGGAUGAAGGCCUUCGGGUUGUAAACCUCUUUCAGCAGGGAAGAAGCGAGAGUGACGGUACCUGCAGAAGAAGCACCGGCUAACUACGUGCCAGCAGCCGCGGUAAUACGUAGGGUGCAAGCGUUGUCCGGAAUUAUUGGGCGUAAAGAGCUUGUAGGCGGUUUGUCGCGUCUGCUGUGAAAUUUCGGGGCUCAACCCCGAACUUGCAGUGGGUACGGGCAGACUAGAGUGUGGUAGGGGAGACUGGAAUUCCUGGUGUAGCGGUGAAAUGCGCAGAUAUCAGGAGGAACACCGAUGGCGAAGGCAGGUCUCUGGGCCACUACUGACGCUGAGAAGCGAAAGCAUGGGGAGCGAACAGGAUUAGAUACCCUAGUAGUCC
rnacentral:rRNA from 1 species